AAGUAUAUCGAAAGAAGUGUUAGGUUACAUUGACACACCCUGAAAAAUGUUGUACUAUAUUAUUAUGAAUUUUGUCAUAUAGUUAAAACUAAUAUUUGCUUAUUCUAGAAAAAUUACAUACUGCAGUCAAAAAUAUUUUAGGUGGAUCAAAACCGAUGGCGGAUGUUUCUCUUAUGUUGGCUGUACCAGACUUAGCAGUGACAAGUGAAAACAUUCGUAACUUAACGA